rnacentral:rRNA from 1 species
ACGCUCGACACCUACGGGAGGCAGCAGUGGGGAAUAUUGCACAAUGGGGGAAACCCUGAUGCAGCGACGCCGCGUGGAGGAAGAAGGUCUUCGGAUUGUAAACUCCUGUUGUUGGGGAAAAAGNGGAUGGUACCCAACAAGGAAGUGACGGCUAACUACGUGCUAGCAGCCGCGGUAAUCUGAGGCGGGCUGGCGAAGGC